CCCGAGCCCUGACCGGGACCAGCUCCCAGGGAGACCCUCAAUCCUGCGAUCCCUUUCCUCCAAGCCGCUCGAGAUCUGUGCCCCGGGACUCCGCGUCUGCCUUGCCUCCUCCAUCGGCUUGCACACCCAGCUUGGCCCUUGCGCUCCUCAUGCAGACACGGCUUCUUCUAGCUCCAAGUGCCUUACCCCAGCCUCAAAGCCCCUCGAGGCCACUUAUGCAAACAUCCUUGUACAAACCCCAGUGUGAGGUCUCUUGGGGCUGCUCCCACACACUGUGGCGAGCCCCAAAGGAAAGGAGCCAGUAUGCAUACAAAGGAUGAGUGUGGGCUUUGACAUCAGUAGAGGGGGUUCAGCUUGAAGAUUUGGAUUGCCUUCUGAAUAUUGCUUGUUAUUUGGUGGCUGAAUGCCUGACACUAUUCUUGGAGGGGAACUCAGAAUCCAUGCCAAAGGCAAAAGGGACUUGGUCUUGUUUAGAACCUCAUGGAUUUAAGAGAGACUGUAAUGUGUGUGAACCUCCUCAUGCCCUGUGUGUGUGGUUUAUUUGGUUUGGUUUUCUCUGCAUGUCUGUGGGCUUCCUGCUUUCAGAGAACAGUGGCUAUGUUCUGAAAAAUUACCCCUUCCCUUUUUGAUGAAGAGUUUGUAUUUCUUUUCUGUCCCUUUGAAUACGUCUAUAAAAAGAAUGAAAGUGUCUGGUUUUGUUUGUUGCACCAACAUUCAAAGAGCUCUGUAAUGGAAAAAUAAAAGCCACUUCAGCUGAUUGA